CCUUGCAGACGAAGUGAGUGAUACCCUGCUUCCAAGAAAAGCCACUAAGCUUCAGCUACACACGACCGUACCGCAAACCGACACUGGUGCGCGAGAUGAGUAUUCUAAGGCGCUUGAGAGAACUCUGGAGAAGGAACUCGGCAAAUUGACACCGUAACUUCGGAAGAAGGUGUGCCUCUAGUAGGUGAUCCAUUGACUUGGUGAGCCCAAUGAGGCCGCAGAGAAUCGGUGGCUGCAACUGUUUAUUAAAAACACAGCACUCUGCAAAGACGAAAGUCGACGUAUAGGGUGUGACUCCUGCCCGGUGCUGGAAGAUUAAAUGAUGGGGUGCAAGCUCUUGACUGAAGUCCCAGUAAACGGCGGCCGUAACGAUAACGGUCCUAAGGUAGCGAAAUUCCUUGUCGGGUAAGUUCCGACCUGCACGAAUGGAGUAAUGAUGGCCACACUGUCUCCUCCAGAGACUCAGCGAAGUUGAAAUGUUUGUGAUGAUGCAAUCUCCCCGCGGAAAGACGGAAAGACCCCAUGAACCUUUACUGUAGCUUUACAUUGGACUUUGAACAGAUCUGUGUAGGAUAGGUGGGAGGCUUUGAAGUAGGGACGCUAGUUUCUAUGGAGCCAACGCUGAAAUACCACCCUGGUGUGUUUGAGGUUCUAACCUUGGUCCCUUGUCGGGAUUGGGGACAGUGUAUGGUGGGCAGUUUGACUGGGGCGGUCUCCUCCCAAAGUGUAACGGAGGAGUUCGAAGGUACGCUAAAUACGGUCGGAAAUCGUGUUGAUAGUGCAUUGGCAUAAGCGUGCUUGACUGCGAGACUGACAAGUCGAGCAGGUACGAAAGUAGGACAAAGUGAUCCGGUGGUUCUGUAUGGAAGGGCAUCGCUCAACGGAUAAAAGGUACUCUGGGGAAAACAGGCUGAUACCGCCCAAGAGUUCAUAUCGACGGCGGUGUUUGGCACCUCGAUGUCGGCUCAUCUCAUCCUGGGGCUGUAGCCGGUCCCAAGGGUAUGGCUGUUCGCCAUUUAAAGAGGUACGUGAGCUGGGUUUAAAACGUCGUGAGACAGUUUGGUCCCUAUCUUCCGUGGGCGCUGCAAGAUUGAGAGAGCCUGCUCCUAGUACGAGAGGACCGGAGUGGACGCACCUCUGGUGUAUCGGUUGUCACGCCAGUGGCAUCGCCGAGUAGCUAAGUGCGGAAGAGAUAACCGCUGAAAGCAUCUAAGCGGGGAACUCGUCUCAAGAUGAGUCUUGCCGGGGCCUAGAGCCCCCUGAAGGGUCGUUCGAGACCAGGACGUUGAUAGGCUGGGUGUGGAAGCGCGGUAACGCGUUAAGCUAACCAGUACUAAUUGCCCGUGAGGCUUGACC
rnacentral:rRNA from 1 species